rnacentral:snRNA from 1 species
AGCUUUGCGCAGUGGCAGUAUCAUAGCCAAUGAGGUUUAUCCGAGGCGCGAUUAUUGCUAAUUGAGCAAAGACUUCGAAUCAACCCAAAUGUCCAUCAGUGACAGACUGGAUUAAGAAAAUGUGGCACAUAUACACCAUGGAAUACUAUGCAGCCAUAAAAAAGG